GGAAGUGUCCAUUGCAGUCACCUUUAAAUAGCGUAUUGGUAUCCAAGGAUACCCAGGAGUAGCAUUUAAAUGACGUCAAUAUUCAUUGAUAGAGUAUUAUCGGCAGUAAUGAGUUCCUCUUCACCAAUAGGAUUCGAUAAGCAGCCUGUUUAGCGAAAGUGGAGGGGUGAAUGAAAGAAAGCAUGGAAAUAGAAAUGCAGCAGGGAGUAGUCACUCUCCACACGCGCUGACAGAAAGAUUGUUCCUUUUUAAACAAACCCCUCCUGCCGUCCCAUUGGUCAACAUCGUGUCUCACCCAUUCUCCAUCCAGACUGUGUGUACACGCGUGAUCAGGCCUGAGGUUCGAGCCCAUGGCUUUCAGACUUGCUCUUUUUGUUUGUGCUACCCAGAAUUCCUGGUGACAUUUGUUGUGUGAAGAUUACUCACUGGCCCGUAGCCUGGCAUAGCACAACAGUGAUGGCUUUAAAGACAUGGAGUUGGCGCUGUCCCAGCCUCGACACCUCACCCACAAACUGUGCCUCCUGUCAUCCCCCCCAUGGGCACCUAUUGUGGUGAAUCAGUGACCGUACCAUUCCUUCUUUCUGCUCUUCACCAACAAAUGAUGAACUAAGUGGGAAAAAAAGACAGAAUGGAAUGAAGAAGAAUAGAAGAUCCAGAGCAUGUUGGCUUUUGACUUUUGGAGUCAUUGUGGACAAUGCAAGUGCUGGACCAUCAUUUUCGAAAUACUGACAGGGUUCGUCAAACAUUUCAUUAUUGUGUU